AUUGAACGCUGGCGGCAGGCCUAACACAUGCAAGUCGAACGAGUGGCGGACGGGUGAGUAAUGUCUGGGCAACUGCCCGAUGGAGGGGGAUAACUACUGGAAACGGUAGCUAAUACCGCAUACCAUCGGAUGUGCCCAGAUGGGAUUAGCUAGUAGGUGGGGUAAAGGCUCACCUAGGCGACGAUCCCUAGCUGGUCUGAGAGGAUGACCCGCGACACUGGAACUGAGAAACGGUCCAGACGCCGACGGGAGGCAGCAGUGGGGAAUAAUGCACAAGGGGCGCAAGCCUGAUGCAGCCAUGCCGCGUGUAUGAAGAAGGCCUUCGGGUUGUAAAGUACUUUCAGCGGGGAGGCGUUACCCGCAGAAGAAGCACCGGCUAACUCCGUGCCAGCAGCCGCGGUAAUUC
rnacentral:rRNA from 1 species